rnacentral:tRNA from 1 species
GUGGGUAUAGCUCAGUGGUAGGGCAUGUGCUCAGCAUGCAUGAGGUCAUAGGUUCAAUCCCCAGUACCUCCA